GCGUCCUGGAGGCCCGGGGCGCGGGUGACCGCGGGCGGCUGGCGCGGGGACGAUGGGGGGGCCUCUUGGAUGCCUGGAUCACAAAGGCGGCGCGGGUGGCUGGCAUUGCCUUGGGAAGAGUUGACGACUAGCCAGAAAGAAACCUGAACGGCUGCGCCCAAAUCCCCAACAUGUUAUCAAACCCCCUGUUGCUCUGAAAGGCAGCAGGUGGACAGA